rnacentral:misc_RNA from 1 species
GUGGGAGCUGGCUUGCCUGCGACAGCUGUCUAUCAGCUUGCCUAUAGGUUGCUGGCCACCGCAAUCGCAGGCAAGCCAGCUCCCAC